UCUCCGUUGGUGAACCAGCGGAGGGAUCAUUACUGAGUUUACAACUCCCAAACCCAAUGUGAACCAUACCAAACUGUUGCCUCGGCGGGGUCACGCCCCGGGUGCGUCGCAGCCCCGGAACCAGGCGCCCGCCGGAGGGACCAACCAAACUCUUUCUGUAGUCCCCUCGCGGACGUUAUUUUUACAGCUCUGAGCAAAAAUUCAAAAUGAAUCAAAACUUUCAACAACGGAUCUCUUGGUUCUG
rnacentral:misc_RNA from 1 species